UUCACCACCAUCAUUCAUAGACACACAUUCACUCACCUCAUAGCAACACAAACACAAGAUUCACGCACACACACAGCCGUGAGAAAUCAGUGAGAGAGAAAAGGAGGGAGAUAUAUGAGAAAUCACUGAAGAAAAGAAAUGGACUCCAUUUUUUGAUCUCUUCUUGGCGAUACAUGCACAAAUACCAUAGAUCCUUACCAAGGCACACACACGCAGAAAGAAUCACAAAGAAAAUCAGAGAGGGAGGUCGAUUCUUGAGUUUUCCAGCAAGAUUCUCGCCGGAAUCAGCGCCGACUAUUUGAAUUAAUCUACCCCAUUCCAAAAACCCAACAUAUCUUGUUAUUUCUUUCUAAUUUUUAAGCGAGACCACUGAAAACAAGUAAAUAGCAGUAGAGCCAUCAGCAUCUUCUUCCAAAUAGAUCCUAAAAUAAUUUAACGUUAGUACUGUAUUUGGAUUUGGAUUUUGUUUAUCUCGGUGGGUUUGUCGUAGUCUAUUACAGGUCUCUGUUUCUCGAUACCAAGUAGAGUUUGUUCACUAUCCUUCAUGGGUUCUCUUUUCGAAUUGGCUUUAGAGGGAUUUUUGUGCUAGAAUUAGUUCAUA
rnacentral:lncRNA from 1 species